rnacentral:rRNA from 1 species
GCGUUGUCCGGAUUAUUGGGCGUAAAGCGCGCGCAGGCGGAUCAGUCAGUCUGUCUUAAAAGUUCGGGGCUUAACCCCGUGAUGGGAUGGAAACUGCUGAUCUAAAGUAUCGGAGAGGAAAGUGGAAUUCCUAGUGUAGCGGUGAAAUGCGUAGAUAUUAGGAAGAACACCAGUGGCGAAGGCGACUUUCUGGACGAAAACUGACGCUGAGGCGCGAAAGCCAGGGGAGCGAACGGGAUUAGAUACCCCGGUAGUCCUGGCCGUAAACGAUGGGUACUAGGUGUAGGAGGUAUCGACCCCUUCUGUGCCGGAGUUAACGCAAUAAGUACCCCGCCUGGGGAGUACGACCGCAAGGUUGAAACUCAAAGGAAUUGACGGGGGCCCGCACAAGCGGUGGAGUAUGUGGUUUAAUUCGACGCAACGCGAAGAACCUUACCAGGUCUUGACAUUGAUGGACAGAACUAGAGAUAGUUCCUCUUCUUCGGAAGCCAGAAAACAGGUGGUGCACGGUUGUCGUCAGCUCGUGUCGU